UUACUCAAAACAAUAGACGGUUGUAGUCACGAGCAGUGGAACAUGUCGUUUAAUUGGAUAAUCCUCCUAAAAUCUUACCAUCUCUUGAAUAUUUUACAGGCGUUACAUCGUUGUCGUCAGUUCAUGCCGUGAGGUUUAAUAUUUAGUUAUUUAAUGAACGUAAUCCCUUAUAUUUUAUAUUAAGCAUUGUUGAGAAACAAUGGGAAGUAGGGGCCGAAGACUAAUCAUGAUGACCCUUAUGAGAUGGGCUAUAGACGUGUUACGAUGUUAUUGACAAUUAUAAGUAUAUUUGCAUAUAUUUUUUAAACAAUAAGAUUUAGACAUAGAUACUUUCAUGGAUUGUAGUCUGAAAUUCGACUACAUGAAGGAGGAAUUGCUAGUAAUCGCGAACUAGAGAGUCGCGGUGAAAUUCUUAACUACUUCGUACUAACCACUCAUCAACAGCAAGAAACUUUUACUUUCCUGUAAGAGGUUUUAGGACCUCUUUGAUUGGUUUGUUUACACGUGAC
rnacentral:rRNA from 1 species